rnacentral:rRNA from 1 species
UACGUAGGGUGCAGGCGUUGUCCGGAAUUAUUGGGCGUAAAGAGCUCGUAGGCGGUCUGUUGCGUCGGCUGUGAAAAACCCGGGGGCUCAACCCCGGGCCUGCAGCCGAUACGGGCAGACUAGAGUUCGGCAGGGGAGACUGGAAUUCCUGGUGUAGCGGCGAAAUGCGCAGAUAUCAGGAGGAACACCGGUGGCGAAGGCGGGUCUCUGGGCCGAUACUGACGCUGAGGCGCGAAAGCGUGGGGAGCAAACAGG